AGGAUGAGUGCCCCCGCAGGUGUUCCAGGUGUGUUUCCCAUGGGGAGCAGUGCCCCAGCCGCUUUUGGCGCUCCCUGGGCGCUGCUGGAGCGUUCUGCAGAGCCGUCGGGCGCAGCACGGCGUUCCCGGGCAGCCGCUGCCCUGGCACUGCGUGCCCAGCCCAGCUGCUGGAGGCUGUUCUGGCAGGAGCUGUGCCUGGAGCCCUGCCUGGCACAGCCAGGAGGAAAUGCUGCCAGGGCCAGGAAUGGUGCCACUGCCCAGUGCCCUGACCACAGCUGCAGGAGGCCACCUCUGCUGGUCCUCAGGACAGGGAGCCCUGCAUGGAUGAAAGCCCUGAACUUCACUUUGUGGGGAUGACAGACCAGACCUUCAGUGCCACAGUUUUGGGGCAGGAGAUCCAGGAGUUGAGAGGAGCCUGCAGAGAGCAGCAAGCACAGCAGGACUGGCAGCAGCAGCAGACACCAAGCUGAGCAGGUGCCACUAGGCUGGUUUGGCUCCUGGUCUUGGCAAGCUCUGGCAAAGGAAGCCCUGUCUGGAGAUUUUCCCUGCUCAGGCUCUGGCACUGAGGUUUCAGCUUCCACGAGGAGCCUGGCACAGACCUUGCCCUGAUUCUGGAGCCACCCCAGGGACAUUUUAAAUUAUGGCACUGAAACCCUGAGUGGGCUGCUGUCUGUCUGAUGGAAGGAAGGGUUCUGCCUGAGCUGGAGAUGGAAGGGUCUGAUGGAAGGAAGGGUUCUGCCUGAGCUGGAGAUGGAAGGGUUUGUCUGAUGGACAGAAGGAUUCUGCCUGUGCUGCUGAUCUGGAGCUGGCUCAGCAGCCCCACAGAGGGAAGUGCUCUGCACAGGGGAGCAGCCCAGCUCACCUGGAGCCAGGUGUGUGCAGGGCAGAGCCUGUCUCUGCAGAGAGCAGCUGGGGCUGCAGUGACAGGAGAGGGAGCCUGGGCAGAGAGGGCAGCGGGGCAGCCUGGGGAGGGGCUGGCUUUGGCUUGGCAGGGCUCAGUCUGGCUUUGGAGGAACCAGGGGCUGGCUUUGCAGGGCUCUGGGGCUGCCACAGCCCCCCUCGUGCCCCUGAAUGCUGAGGGACCCUGCAGAAGGCACCAGGAGAGGAGCCGUGAGGGGCCCUGUGCCCCUGUCCUGUGCCAGGAGACAGCUCAGGAGUGUGGCAGCGUGCAGGGCUGAGCCCCCCUGGGACUCAGUGGGAGCAUUAAUCCUGCCCCUCCAGCUGCUGGGUUUGGGUGAGUAUUGCCAAACAUAACUGGGGAAAAAAAACAGGCCUACGAGUGCUUGAAAGAAAUUUUCCAUGUGUGGUAUUUAAGACUUUUAAAUUUCAAAUCAUUAAUAAUGAUCUUUGAAGGGGACCCUGUAAGUUGUCUCCUAAUUCCUGAUGAAGUAGAAUAAUUUAUUACAUCAAUUUCUCUGAUUAAUGUGAAAUGUGUUUCAAAUUUGGGUUUUCCUUUAAUAUUUAAACUUUCCCUUGAGAGGAGCUGCAGAAGGUGACUGAGUGUGCCCCAGACUGAUGUGGUGUGUCCUCAGAGCAGGGUGAGAUCUGCUGCUGGAGCUGGUCAGCAAUAAAACCAUGGUACAGCAGCAAAGCCAGCUCAUUUCAGGACCUGCUCUCCAAAAGGCAUGAACAGCUCUGCUCGCUCAUGCCUGGAGAGAGAGAGUGUCUUAAAAACUUACUCUGGGAAUGGGAAAUUUUUUGUUGUCAAGGACGUGUCUCCAGAAAUUUCUGGAAAAAGGCCAGAGCUGGGGUCACUCAGGAUAAAUUGCAUGGCAGGUCUUUUCCCUAAGAAAUGAAUUUAUUUUAAACAGGUUUUCUACUGUACUUUUAUGUAAUUUUUGUCUUGGUAUUACAACAAGGAGGAAACUGCAGCAUUUAGAGCAGCCAUUCUCUGAGCUGGUAAAGCACCCCACACUUUGUGUCCUUCAUCCAGCACACAGAAAACUGAACACCCAUCUUUGCUGUCUUGGGCUGACCACUCCAGCUGUGCCUCUCUGGUGCAGGAGGACAGGGACAGCAGAGUUUUAAUGCAGACAGAAGGGUCUCUGUCCCAGGGAAAGCUAAGCCAUGGUGUGCUGCUGCUGCUGCUGGAGCAGAGAGCCCUCUUGGUGUCUGCAGUGAUAGAGACCAGAGCCCAGACAGGAGAGUUUGUUUAAGAGAGAAUUAUUUAUUAGAAGACAGGAGGUUGUUACGUACAGAUUCUGUCCUGCAAAAGUGUCCUGGUCAAGGUGUGUCAGGGGGACAUGACCCCCAUGGAGCUGGCCCUGCUCCCACCCAGAGAUACUCAGACACAGCAGAGCUCUGCCAGGCCUGGCUGCCCCUGGGCUCAGCUGGGAGAGCCCAGCACCACAGCAUCCCUGGGCACCACAGCAUCCCUGGGCACCACUGCAUCCCUGGGCACCACUGCAUCCCUGGGCACCACAGCAUCCCUGGGUCCCUGGGCACCACUGCAUCCCUGGGUCCCUGGGCACCACAGCAUCCCUGGGCACCACUGCAUCCCUGGGUCCCUGGGCACCACUGCAUCCCUGGGCACCACUGCAUCCCUGGGCACCACUGCAUCCCUGGGCACCACUGCAUCCCUGGGCACCACAGCAUCCCUGGGCACCACUGCAUCCCUGGGCACCACUGCAUCCCUGGGUCCCUGGGCACCACAGCAUCCCUGAGCUGUGCAUCUCCCUGGGAUACAGUGCCUGCAUCCCCGGGAGAGGGGCUGGGGCAGCAGAAGGGGCUGCAGGGGGGCUGCUCCUCCCUGGGCUCCCCUGGGCUGGCAAUGAGCUGCUUCCAUCGGGCCAGCGGGGAACGGGGCUGAGCAAGAGGCCACGGAGACACAGCCAUGCUGAGGUAGCAUGAGGAAAAUCAAACUGAGAAGCAACAAAGGUCUCUGUGAUAGAGAGAGCAGCUCUCCCCUCUCUGGCUCAGCCCCAAACCUGGCCAAGCAGCAGGGCUGGAGCCAGCUCUGCCAGGGGCUGCCAAGGCAGCAGUGAGGGCUGUGCUCCUGCCUGCAGGGCUGCCCUGCUCCUGGGCUGGGGGGGAUUUCUCUGCCAGCCCUGAGUGCUCUGGGGCUCUGCCAGGUGAAGCCCAGCUGUGUCAGAAGCUGCUGGGAGGGGGGGAGGCACCUCCUGGGCAGCACUGCUAGAGGGGCAGGCACAGGAGAGGGGGCAGGUGAAGGCAUCCCCACCCCUGGCAGUGCCAGAAGGGCCCAGGACCCCCUUGUGCAGGUGCUCAGUGCUCACAGGAGCCUAGGGCUCGGAGCCACAGCAGCCCCUGGGCAUUCCUUACUCCAGGUGUGCAUCUUCCUGCUCUGCCACCGCACCUGUGGCACAGCAGAGCAGCUUCACCAGCGCCUCUGUGCUCUGACAGACACCCAAACUGACACUUCCCCAACAUUCAGCAGGUUUCUCAAAGGAAGGUAUUAUCCAGAAGAAAAUCUGUGUAACUUUCUAAUUUAUAGGUGCUGAAAUAUUCCCCAAGGACAUCCCACCUUUGGCUGAAGGGCAGAGGUGAUCCAGACCCACUGAGUCAUCAGAACCCCUGCAGCAAUCGUGACCCCCUCUUCAGUUUUUUAAGCUUUCUGCAGUGCUGGAUGUGCUCCCACUUUCUCACCCUAUGGAAAGGGGUGAGCUGGGGAAGCCUGGCCUCUCUAAGAGCAGGCCAGAGCUCUUCACUUGCUAUUUGCCAUGAAACAACAAAUCUGGAGGUCUGGUCUAAAACAAUCUCCUUCCCUCCUCUCUCAGCCCUGACCUUAAAGCUGGUUUAAUUCCAGCUUGGUCAAGUGGGAGGAACACAGAGCUGACAACAAAACAUCUCACUUGCAUUUCAGCCUAACAUUGAGAGGCAGAUUUUUGCCUCCAUUUCCAUUAUUGUCUUCCAGAACUGGUUCUUCAGCCACCCAAGAUGAAAACUUGUCCCUGCUAGGACUUCUUGGAACACCCUGACGAGUGAAGCUCCCCUGUCAGAGCUGCCUGGAUGCUGCAGAUGAGCUAAGUUUUCCUGGAAAGUUUUUCUCCAGAGAGAAAAGGCAGGAGAGAGAGAGAUGCUCCCCCUCCAGAGCAAAGCAUAGGAGAGAGAGAGAAAAAGAGAGAAAGAAAAAGUGAGAGAGAGAAAGAGCUGGACAUUUCUUCUCGGAGGUUUUCCCACAGCUGUGUCUGCUGCUGUCCAACUGCCUUGUGGUGUGCACAAGCACAUUCUACAUGCCUGGGGAUUAUCCUUUGCCAACCAGAAGAUCUAAUGGCUGAUAAACGGGUGACCUAUGCGAGCUCGUGCCUUGUCCUGGGCACCUGAGGGUUUGGAUGAAAGACUGCGAGUAAGAAUUCAACUGCAUCCAGAGAACUGAAACACAACAUUUAAGAAGAGGCUGCUGCACCACUGAGUUGCAUAACAGAGGUAUUUUCAGUCAUUUGUCUUAUGACAAAGUAAAAUGGACUUUGUUGCUCAACCUCACUAUUGUGCAUUUGUAGAAAAGUUCUCUGUCUUUUCAGUUGUGUCUCUGAUAAAUAUAGUCCAAUUUUGUGGUAUUUCUGACUCUCUGAUUAGUCAGUGUACCCAAGUUUAAAUAUUAAAGGAAGGGAGAAAGAUGCAAAAAGCAGCUUGAACAGCUUUCUUCCCCAGAACUAGAGCAGAGCCACAAAGAUGCUAAGCAACCUCUUUUAUAACAAAUCCAUUAUUACAUAGAUAACCUGCCAGACACUGCAAUCAGAUUUCUAGCUGUUAUAAGUGACAUCAAAUCCUGGUAUCGUCCAAUCUUUCCAACACAGCUGUUGAGCAGAACGUCCUCAAGCUCCCCUGGCACUUGUGCAGCCCAGCCUGGGGCUCCCCCUGCCCAGCCAGGCUCUGAGGAGCACAGGGGGAUUUACUGCUGCUCCUGGGGAGAUGGCAGAGAUCUCCUCUGGACUGACACCCAUGGCUUCAUGCACAUUUACCUGAAAGGGCUGAAAACAAUCAUCUAA